AAUAUUUUUGUUAUUUUAUAGUCACUAGUACUUGUUUUGACUAUCUGUGUAUAUAAUGUCAAUCGUUACAUUCGAAAUAUAUCUUGAAUUGGAUCUUUUUCUUCACUUAUUGUUCCGUCAUAACGCAGAUACAAUUUGGGAUAGCUGUAACAUGUGGACAAUAUAUGUGAGGAAAAUAUAUAGAUCGUUCGUCAAUAAUAUUUUUAUAAAGACUUCUAACGUCCGUCAUUGUAAAAACGUAUUAGUGAAUAUGAAAAAAUUAGCAAAUUAUUUAAAACAAUUGUUGAUACAGAACUAUUAUAAAAACCUAUUAUAAAAGAUUAUAUAUUAUUGUAUAAUAUUCAAUUAUUACAAGUAAAACGCAUCACAAAAGAGAACAACUCACUGUCAGCAUUAACUGGAAAGAAUACGAAAGCAAACUCCAUCCACUUGCGCCCUCUGUGAGAACAUUUUUUAUUUUGUCAUCAGCGUUUUCAAUUCUUGCAGAGGAAGAUGGACAAAAGUUACAUCAAUGUCAUCUAUGAUUUAAUAGAGAAUGAAAAUCGAUGAAAAUAACUUCGUCGUAGCGGAAAAAAAUCAACAUAGCGUUUCUUCCGCAAGAAAGACGACGCAGAGAAAGGGAUAGUAGAUAUGGAGUGGAUAUUUCGAAGGAAGGUAUGUACGCGAUUCAAGGAAAAAAGUCUGCAUUGGAGAAAGGACGGCUUUAUCCGUUCACUGCGGAGCUGUUACGUAUAAAUGCAGAAACGCGGCCCGGUUCGCGGAGGUUGAGCGAUCGUUGGUGGGAGCGAGCUUGAUUCCGCGUUGAUUCAGACCGUAUUCAGUGCAUCGAGCUCGCGAUGAAAAGGCGUUCCGUUUUCUGAAUAUAUUCCAAUUAAAAAGUCGGAGCUUCGUUGCCCUCACCUCUGCCCGCUCACCUCUUGCUUAUGCCUCAUCCCCUGAAAGAGAGAAAGAGAGAGAGAGAGAGUGAGAGGAGAGAGAGGAGAGAGAGAGAGAGAGAGAGCAAGCGCCGGCUCAAGCGGCAACUCGAGCGCUCUUCUUCUUUUUCUUCUACGCCCCACUAUCCCGUACCACCGACCCCCUUUUACUUCUGCCUUUUGCCUUCCGCCCCUACCGACGACGCGAUCCCUUUUUCCUAUCGCUCGACCAACCAGACAUUUUCUCCCUCUCGCUGUUUCUCCAGCAAUUACUUCUCCGCUUUUUCUUCCUUCCUCUUUUUCACUUUUCUAUCUUUCUUCCCUUCUAAAAAACUCUUUCUACCAUUUUUUCUUCCUCGAUCCUUCCUAAUAUACCUUACUCAAUUUCAUCCCCAUAUUUUCGUCCGAAUAAUUUUCAUUAUUUUCAAUAAUUGUUUCAUAUUUAGGAAAAUGUAGAUGAUACGCAUUUAAAAGAUAUCUUAGUCGAUAAUCUUUGCCUAACAAAGUUUAUUUGUAAAUUUGGAUUAUACUUUAUGCAAUUGUUUCUAACAUGGGAAACGGCGAAUCAAGCUGUUGUUUCAUUCUCCGUGAAAAACAAAUGUAAAUUCUAUGCGUAUGUUCGCUCACGUACGCCUUGGAACCCCCAUGAAGUAUUUAACGAUGCCACAGAAUGAAGGCACAUCGUAAGGCUAAGGAGAGGAGAAGACGAAGAGGAAUACGAAGCGCGUGCCCAAGUGCCAACAGGAUUUACGCACGUAUGCACGCGCGUGUGCAAGCGUGUAUGCAAGCGCGUGUAUAGAUACGGAUAUUCGCUUGAGUACAAUGAGCACGUGGCCAGGCACACGCAACACCACUUGUCUCGCUCAACUUCGAUUCCUAUCCCUUCAUGGAUGAUCCUCGGGUCAACUUUUCGUCCUUGAUCUCGAGACUGCACCACUAAACAAAGUUAAAAGAGAGAGAGAGAUAGAGAGAAAGAAAGGGUCACCCUGUAACAAAUACGACUUCGCUAUAAAUAUCAUAAGUUUGUUAGCAAAGCUAAUGCAAGAAUUUUCGUUGAAUAUACUAAUCGCAUUUUUAAUCCAAUUUAUUAAUUAAGAUAAAAAUAGGAUUCAUUUUUCUAUAUAUAUAUAUAGGUACGUAAUACGAAUACGUGAAGCGAGCGAGAAAUAAUUCAGGAAUCUAAAUUAACGCGAUUAUAUUUAGAAACGGUCUAAUGAAUUUAAAAUUGUUCGCAGAGAUAAAACGUUCUAAUUACUUAUAUUGCUGGCACGUUUUAAUUAUUUCGCUGGUUAAUGGUUAACAUUGGAAAGAACGAAGAAACGAAUGUAGUACGGUAGGUCGAAGAACAGUAACCGCCUGAACCGACUGAAUAGCGAAUGCCGUUGGAUAUCAUCGUGAAUACUGUACGAAUGAUUAUGUGAAAGUAAUUACGCGUAAGAUAUUACGUAGGAAUAUCAUUGAGAUUUCGUUUCAACUAUGCUGCAGUGAGUCCUAACAAAACGAAAGAGAAAAAGAGAAAGAUGAUUCAAGUUGAAGGAGGACAUAAGAAUUUUUCCUUCGUUCGAGCGAUUUCACGCUCGGUGAGACGAAUCUGCUUUUCCUAUAAUUCGAGGACUUGGGAUGUAAGAAAAGAAAAAGAAAUAGAAAGAGAUAGAAAGAG